rnacentral:rRNA from 1 species
UACGUAGGGGGCAAGCGUUGUCCGGAUUUAUUGGGCGUAAAGAGCGUGUAGGCGGCCAGGUAGGUCCGUUGUGAAAACUCGAGGCUCAACCUCGAGACGUCGGUGGAAACCGUUUGGCUAGAGUCCGGAAGAGGGGAGUGGAAUUCCCGGUGUAGCGGUGAAAUGCGCAGAUAUCGGGAAGAACACCCGUGGCGAAGGCGGCUCUCUGGGACGGUACUGACGCUGAGACGCGAAAGCGUGGGGAGCGAACAGG